CGAAGUGGUUGUCUGUCGAGUUGACCGGCGGUUUUCGGUUUGCACUAGUAGAGUAGCCUAGUGCAUUUGUUUAGCGUUAUUAAGGUUUGCUUUAGGAUCGGCACGCGACGGGGGCGUAGUAACUGUGCCAGGGCUUAGGGCUAAUUUUUUUAGGGUUUGGGCUUCUUUCGGGUUGCGCUUCGCGGUGCGGUGUGGUGUGGUGUGGAGCGGAGCGGCGUCGGAGCGAGUCCUGGUCGGGCGCGAGAGGCGCCUAGGCUCGGCGGCGCGGUCCGCCGUCCCCUCCCUUUUACCUGCUGCCGCCCUAGGUCCUCCUCCUCGUCGGCGGCAGCCGCGCCGGCGAGUCCGGCUCCGCUAGCCCCCCGUCGAGCGCCACCCACCUGCGGUCGCUCCAGCUGAGCAGGCUCAGGGGCGUGACCAGCGAGCUCCUGCUCGUCCUCGGGACCCGGGAGAGCCGGCGGCUGCUCCGGCUCCAGGAGACGCGGUGCCCUCCCCGGGACGAGAGCGCCUCCUCGAGGAGGCGCAAAGCGGCCUCCGACCCCUUCGCCGGGUUCUCCCGGCUGAGGGAGCUGCAGCUCCGGUACUUGCACGCGCCGCGCGUACCGGUGUCGCGGGUCCUAUAUAGCAACUACCCGUGGCAGCGUUACCGUAAAGUUUGGGAGCCUCAACAAAUACCACUGUACCCAUGCUCGGGAGAGAUACAGAAGUCGCUACACAAGUCGUUCCAGGGGUAGUUCAGUCUCCACCUCUAGGAACCUCGCGAAAGCGACCAGUACAUGUGCUAUCGCAACUAGGGAAAACGCUUUAUGCAUAAGUAUCAGGACUUUCGGUUACUGUUACCGCUUCCCCCGUGCAAACGUAAUAUAAGCAACUAAACGUCCAUACGUUUUCAGUCGGACAAUGGCUUAGUCGUCGCACACCUACUUUUAUAAAGAUCAAAAUCCGAAUUCAAUGGAUGAGGACUCGAACUUGCACGAGACGAACAGUUUCUGAUGGAUCUUUUCUUCGGUGAGAUGUUUUUAUAAGAGGAGAAGAACCAAGACUACCCCUGAAGGUACCACUAACCUCUACCGUAGGAGUGAGGCAGUUACAGUCAAUACAGACGACAGUCACCAGAGGUCCCAGUUCAACGACCUAAACUACGUCUACGACAACAUUAACAAAGUUAGGAUCAAGAACACGAUAAUAAGUCACAGGUCUCGAAACCUUGACCGUUUCAACCUUAGUACAAGCGAGGACAAAACCGAAACACCAAAGAAUUAAACCCGAGGUAACCUUAUAUGUUGUAUUAAUUCAUACUGUGCAGUCAUCACUCUCGAGAGUUAGGUUACAUGUAGAUAAUAAAAAAGUUCUACUUGCCGUAUUUCCGUACCAGUCGAGAACCACCAACACAGAACACGUAGUGUCCUCGACUUCGUUACAAACGACUAGACCCGGUAAAGUGACAGUUUAGUUAUGUCGAUCGUAAGUGACGACACCAUAAGGGAACGGACGAAUAACGUAUGUACCCGGUUCGACGUAUAAACUACUUCGUAGGUGAACGGCAUCUUUCCUAUAAAAUACUAAGACAUGGUCUUCAAGACAAGACCGGUCAUAAACACUAACGAUGUGAACGACGAUACUAACGGUCGGUUCGAUACUAUAGACGUUGGAAGAGAACGUAUUUCGUCCGAUACCGUGAACCAACGAAAGGAUCCUAGUUUUAUUAGGUAUGGAGGUUCUUUCAGUACCCAGUCUAAAUGUAUGGACACUACUUAACCAAAGAGUACUAGUACACGUAGUAGUAGCACCGGUGAAAGUCCUCAUGCUUGCUAUAACGGUUACGUAUACCGUAACGACUUCAACCUCAGUACUACCAGUCAUGACGUGACCAUUGGAACCACUACGAAGAAUAUACCGUUUGGUUAGACAUAGAACAAAACACGAAGGGAUAUAAAAAACCACGUUACAUCAAGUAAAUGAAUUGACGGCAGUACAGUUUCGACGAUCUUCCUCCUACCAAUGGUGAACGAAAGAGUAGUAACAAAGAGACGUAUUACAUAUGUACCUUGAUACCUUCGCACAACUUUAUGGUCUCACUCUACGCACCCUUCUAUAGGGACCUGAAAUAAGAACUGGACCCUAGUUGUGAACCGUGUCAUUCUCAAGGUCCGUAACCUGAACACAUGUUACUCGACCAGGUCCCUUAGGGUAGCUAGAAACCAGUAGACAACUAGUGUGACGGUCGUUACGUGAGGUGUUAGCAAAAACAAACGUAGUUUAUACAAGGACAGGGUAUACACGGCGAACUUCUUUCCAAGAACAAGUCUUCCCAACCGGUCUUCCUGAUGGUGUACAAGGCAACACAACGUGCCAUACCGAUGUUCCUACAGUCCUUUCUCCUGGUACCGAGUAAACUCGUAGAGAACCAACUUUCGGAUCUCUCUAAAGACUCCUCCCUCCGGGUCCUUGAGCGCGAGCUCCACUCGUGUUACCUCCGUCUCGCACUACUACACAGACUUCACAGGCUCUAGCAAGGUAGUAGAGGACGAUGACGACGACUCCUAGACGUGUGAGGUGACGAAAGACUAGUCUCUGGCCCGCUACUGUCAGCUUACAACCCGUACCUUCCGUCGCAAGGAAACGAGGGGAGAUCGAGGUACAGGCGUCUUCUUCUGGGGUCGAAUCUCAUGCUCGAGCGCCGUGACUCCCUUCGGUACCGUAGACCCAAGUGUAUAGAGAAUCGUGUACCGCUACACUCCCGCUCCUUCGUUAGUAAGAAGUGCUUCUUCAAGUAGUAGUUGAUAAAGAUGCGAAAGGACUCCUCCUUGACGUCCCCACCGUGGCGUUGGAACUUCUACGGAGUGAGCUUGUAGUACGCACACCCCUACUGUAUGUACCAGACUAGCCACGAGACGACGCGGACACGACGUUUUAACUUGGAACAAGAACGCGGAGCAGAAACCACCUUACGAUGUGGUGGUCCAUCAAAUCCCUAAACAUGGCGGCGUCACUUGUUUCAGUGACGUCGAAGGCCGGUUGACGGGUUUUAAAAUCAACGUCUUAACCGGAACACACAUGGGACAACACAAGAAGGGUUGGAAAGGCCAAUUGAAAUAAGAUUCAAUAGACACACGCUAAACGUAACUAUUCUAAUAUAUAGUCGAAUUAGAAGA
rnacentral:rRNA from 1 species